AGAGUUUGAUCAUGGCUCAGAUUGAACGCUGGCGGCAUGCCUUACACAUGCAAGUCGAACGGCAGCACGGGUGCUUGCACCUGGUGGCGAGUGGCGAACGGGUGAGUAAUACAUCGGAACAUGUCCAGUAGUGGGGGGAUAGCCCGGCGAAAGCCGGAUUAAUACCGCAUACGAUCUACGGAUGAAAGCGGGGGAUCGCAAGACCUCGCGCUAUUGGGGUGGCCGAUGGCGGAUUAGCUAGUUGGUGGGGUAAAGGCCUACCAAGGCGACGAUCCGUAGCUGGUCUGAGAGGACGACCAGCCACACUGGGACUGAGACACGGCCCAGACUCCUACGGGAGGCAGCAGUGGGGAAUUUUGGACAAUGGGCGAAAGCCUGAUCCAGCAAUGCCGCGUGUGUGAAGAAGGCCUUCGGGUUGUAAAGCACUUUUGUCCGGAAAGAAAUCCUUUUCGAUAAUACCGAGAGGGGAUGACGGUACCGGAAGAAUAAGCACCGGCUAACUACGUGCCAGCAGCCGCGGUAAUACGUAGGGUGCAAGCGUUAAUCGGAAUUACUGGGCGUAAAGCGUGCGCAGGCGGUGAUGCAAGACCGAUGUGAAAUCCCCGGGCUUAACCUGGGAACUGCAUUGGUGACUGCAUCGCUAGAGUAUGGCAGAGGGGGGUAGAAUUCCCGUGUAGCAGUGAAAUGCGUAGAGAUGUGGAGGAAUACCGAUGGCGAAGGCAGCCCCCUGGGUCAAUACUGACGCUCAUGCACGAAAGCGUGGGGAGCAAACAGGAUUAGAUACCCCAGUAGUCC
rnacentral:rRNA from 1 species